GUGCCUGCUUCAGCAGCACAUAUACUAAAAUUGGAAUGAUACAGAGAAGACUAACAUGGCCCCUGCACAAGGAUGACAUGCAAAUUCAUGAAGCGUUCCAUAUUUUU